AGAAAAAAAAGAGGCGGAAGCUCGGCGAGAAGAUGGUAGGAAUGGAAGAAUGCGAGGAGAGUCGAUGAUAGUCGAUGCUAAAAACGCCUUCUGGCUUUUAUCAGCGGGUCGCAGACAUAAUUCAAGAGGGGAUACUAUUAAAAAUGUAACCCCUCCGGGGGAGAGAGAAAGAGGGAUAGAGGGAGAGGGAGACAAUGGGUGAAGAGCGAAAAAGUGGAAUCGUCUAUUGACCCAUUUUUCAAUUGUUAUCGGUGUUUCGUGUAAGCCUUUCCGUCUGUCGAGAACGUUACCGUGCUUCUGUCAACGUUUCGGGCAGAGGAAACGAGGAAAGAAAAGAAGUGAACUUCUCCUCCUCCUCCGAUUCUUUCUUCUCUUCGCUGAUACCGCUUAAUUGGCCGAUCUGGCAAUCACCGUUGAAAAAAAAAAAAUAAAAUAAAAUAACGAGUGUGGAGGAGAAAGGGAAGAGAAUGGAAGGGAAACGCAUUUACGAAGUGUCUGGGAGAGGAAGCAAUUUCUUUAAGAGAUGGCCGGACACUCGAAUCUUGUCCGUUUUUCUAUCCACGUUGACAGAGGGUGCAAACAGCCGGAGUAAAAAGUUGACAUUCCUCUUCAACACGCGGGAAAACUGAAAUAUCUAAAGAUUGUUCGAUAUUUCGUUCCCUCGAAAAUUCUUCUUAUUUAUUCUUCUCGCCUCUAUCCAAUUCCAUCGAGAUUUUCGAUCGAAUCCUUUUCUUCCUUCUCUCCUUUUUUCUUUCUCUUUUUCCUUUCUAUAUCUCUUAGAAAUUUUUCUCAGCGUCCAGGGUAUAAUACACCCACAAUUCGCACCCUUUGUUCGAUCCGGCAAACCCCUUGCUCCAUUGGGCCAUCUUCAAUUCCACCGCCCUUGCUUGCGCGUCAUCCUUGUCCACCAUUCGUGCACCACCGAAAAGAAAGAGAUUAUGGGAUCGCGAGGAGGGUGAAAUCGAGAACAGGGCGAGGAAAAGGGCGGCAAUGCUCGCGAUGCAAUCUCGCACUACGUGGAAAACGAUACCAAGACCGUUAGACCGUUGGAAAUCUCCUCCGGGAAUCUCCGCCGCGGGACACCUGCUCCCGGAUCUCGAGGAAAAGUCCACAGGAGAAGUGGACUUUGAACGUGGUUAUGCGCGAAUAGAAAGAGAUAGCGAGAGAGAGAGAGAGAGA